rnacentral:rRNA from 1 species
AUGCAGAAGGCUCAAACUAGGGAAACUAGCGCUUGCAGUUUACCAAAGAGUUCCUCCUUGAAUAUGCUCUUACUCCUCCUCCUCCAGCUCCUCGCCAUCACCACCCUCCCUUGCUCUGCCAGCAACGCCACCCAACUAGUCUAUGACACGGAGGGCAACGUGCUAAGUAGCAAGCAAAAUUACUACAUCCUCCCUGCUAAACGUGCGAGCGGCGGGGGCCUUAGAGCUUUGCCUACUGGCCUGCGGUGUCUGCACUUCGUGUUCCAGGAGCGCAGCGAGGCUGUCCUCGGCACCGCCCUGUGGUUCACGCCACUACCAGAACACGCUUCAGCCAGCGAGCCGAUUCGCCUGUCGAGCGACAUCUGUAUCGAGUUCCAUGAUUUCGAUAGUUUUUGCUCUAAAAGGCUAGAUUGGCACCUUACCGGACAAGUGCCGGAGUCGUCAUCAGGUGAGCCUAAACACGUGGCCGCCGGCAGUGAAGAGGGCCUAAGAUCGUUUGCGGUGUUCCGGGUUGAGAAGCAUGGCACAGGUCUCUUGGGAUAUAAGAUAGUUUCAUGUGUUGACAAGGGGCCAUGCAAAGAUGUAGGUUUGCACGCUACUAAGGACAAGACGUGGCUGACCUUGAGCAAUAAGCCUUUUAUCGUUGUCUUUAGGAAAGAGAGGUUAUAG